rnacentral:rRNA from 1 species
UCUGACGGAGCAACGCCGCGUGAACGAUGAAGGCUUUCGGGUCGUAAAGUUCUGUUGUCAGGGAAGAACAAGUACCGGAGUAACUGCCGGUACCUUGACGGUACCUGACCAGAAAGCCACGGCUAACUACGUGCCAGCAGCCGCGGUAAUACGUAGGUGGCAAGCGUUGUCCGGAAUUAUUGGGCGUAAAGCGCGCGCAGGCGGUUCCUUAAGUCUGAUGUGAAAGCCCCCGGCUCAACCGGGGAGGGUCAUUGGAAACUGGGGAACUUGAGUGCAGAAGAGGAGAGCGGAAUUCCACGUGUAGCGGUGAAAUGCGUAGAGAUGUGGAGGAACACCAGUGGCGAAGGCGGCUCUCUGGUCUGUAACUGACGCUGAGGCGCGAAAGCGUGGGGAGCGAACAGGAUUAGAUACCCUGGUAGUCCACGCCGUAAACGAUGAGUGCUAAGUGUUAGAGGGUUUCCGCCCUUUAGUGCUGCAGCAAACGCAUUAAGCACUCCGCCUGGGGAGUACGGCCGCAAGGCUGAAACUCAAAGGAAUUGACGGGGGCCCGCACAAGCGGUGGAGCAUGUGGUUUAAUUCGAAGCAACGCGAAGAACCUUACCAGGUCUUGACAUCCUCUGACAACCCUAGAGAUAGGGCGUUCCCCUUCGGGGGACAGAGUGACAGGUGGUGCAUGGUUGUCGUCAGCUCGUGUCGUGAGAUGUUGGGUUAAGUCCCGCAACGAGCGCAACCCUUGAUCUUAGUUGCCAGCAUUCAGUUGGGCACUCUAAGGUGACUGCCGGUGACAAACCGGAGGAAGGUGGGGAUGACGUCAAAUCAUCAUGCCCCUUAUGACCUGGGCUACACACGUGCUACAAUGGAUGGAACAAAGGGUCGCGAAGCCGCGAGGUCGAGCCAAUCCCAUAAAUCCAUUCUCAGUUCGGAUUGCAGGCUGCAACUCGCCUGCAUGAAGCCGGAAUC